GGAAGCUUGCUUCCUAUGAAAUCGAGUGGCAAACGGGUGAGUAACGCGUAAACAACCUGCCCUUCGGAUGGGGAUAACAGCCGGAAAUGGCUGCUAAUACCGAAUACGAUCUUUUCGUCGCAUGACGGAAAGAAGAAAGGAUGGCCUCUAUACAAAGCUAUCGCCGAAGGAGGGGUUUGCGUCUGAUUAGCUGGUUGGAGGGGUAACGGCCCAACAAGGCGAUGAUCAGUAGCCGGUCUGAGAGGAUGAACGGCCACAUUGGGACUGAGACACGGCCCAGACUCCUACGGGAGGCAGCAGUGGGGAAUCUUCCGCAAUGGACGAAAGUCUGACGGAGCAACGCCGCGUGAGUGAAGAAGGUCUUCGGAUUGUAAAGCUCUGUUAUACGGGACGAAAAAGACGGAUGCCAACAGUAUCCGUCCGUGACGGUACCGUAAGAGAAAGCCACGGCUAACUACGUGCCAGCAGCCGCGGUAAUACGUAGGUGGCAAGCGUUGUCCGGAAUUAUUGGGCGUAAAGGGCGCGCAGGCGGUUCGGUAAGUCUGUCUUAAAAGUGCGGGGCUUAACCCCGUGAGGGGACGGAAACUGUCGAACUUGAGUGUCGGAGAGGAAAGCGGAAUUCCUAGUGUAGCGGUGAAAUGCGUAGAUAUUAGGAGGAACACCGGUGGCGAAAGCGGCUUUCNNNACGACAACUGACGCUGAGGCGCGAAAGCGUGGGGAG
rnacentral:rRNA from 1 species